AAAUUGAAGAGUUUGAUCAUGGCUCAGAUUGAACGCUGGCGGCAGGCCUAACACAUGCAAGUCGAGCGGUAGCACAGAGAGCUUGCUCUCGGGUGACGAGCGGCGGACGGGUGAGUAAUGUCUGGGAAACUGCCUGAUGGAGGGGGAUAACUACUGGAAACGGUAGCUAAUACCGCAUAACGUCGCAAGACCAAAGUGGGGGACCUUCGGGCCUCAUGCCAUCAGAUGUGCCCAGAUGGGAUUAGCUAGUAGGUGGGGUAACGGCUCACCUAGGCGACGAUCCCUAGCUGGUCUGAGAGGAUGACCAGCCACACUGGAACUGAGACACGGUCCAGACUCCUACGGGAGGCAGCAGUGGGGAAUAUUGCACAAUGGGCGCAAGCCUGAUGCAGCCAUGCCGCGUGUGUGAAGAAGGCCUUCGGGUUGUAAAGCACUUUCAGCGGGGAGGAAGGCGUUAAGGUUAAUAACCUUGGCGAUUGACGUUACCCGCAGAAGAAGCACCGGCUAACUCCGUGCCAGCAGCCGCGGUAAUACGGAGGGUGCAAGCGUUAAUCGGAAUUACUGGGCG
rnacentral:rRNA from 1 species